rnacentral:rRNA from 1 species
AUUGAACGCUGGCGGCAGGCCUAACACAUGCAAGUCGAGCGGGGUUUUCGGACCUAGCGGCGGACGGGUGAGUAAUGCGUAGGAAGCUACCCGAUAGAGGGGGAUACCAGUUGGAAACGACUGUUAAUACCGCAUAAUGUCUACGGACCAAAGUGUGGGACCUUCGGGCCACAUGCUAUCGGAUGCGCCUACGUGGGAUUAGCUAGUUGGUGAGGUAAUGGCUCACCAAGGCGACGAUCCCUAGCUGGAUUGAGAGGAUGAUAAGCCACACUGGAACUGAGACACGGUCCAGACUCCUACGGGAGGCAGCAGUGGGGAAUAUUGGACAAUGGGCGCAAGCCUGAUCCAGCCAUGCCGCGUGUGUGAAGAAGGCCUUCGGGUUGUAAAGCACUUUCAGCGAGGAGGAAGGGGUGAGUGUUAAUAGUACUCAUCUUUGACGUUACUCGCAGAAGAAGCACCGGCUAACUCUGUGCCAGCCGCCGCCGUAAUAC